CGGACCUGACUGCUAUCGGAUUGAUACUAAGCCAUGCGAGUCAUUGUAGCAAUACAAGGCAUACGGCUCAGUACGCGUAGUCAACCUAACCUAUGGACGGGAAUAACCUCGGGAAACUGAGAAUAAUGCCCGAUAGAACAUUAUGCCUGGAAUGGUUUAUGUUCCAAAUGAUUUAUCGCCGUAGGAUGGGACUGCGGCCUAUCAGUUUGUUGGUGAGGUAAUGGCCCACCAAGACUAUUACAGGUACGGGCUCUGAGAGGAGUAGCCCGGAGAUGGGUACUGAGACACGGACCCAGGCCCUAUGGGGCGCAGCAGGCGAGAAAACUUUGCAAUGUGCGAAAGCACGACAAGGUUAAUCCGAGUGGUUUCUGCUAAAGGAACCUUUUGUCAGUCCUAGAAACACUGAUGAAUAAGGGGUGGGCAAGUUCUGGUGUCAGCCGCCGCGGUAAAACCAGCACCUCAAGUGGUCAGGAUGAUUAUUGGGCCUAAAGCAUCCGUAGCCGGCUCUGUAAGUUUUCGGUUAAAUCUGUACGCUCAACGUACAGGCUGCCGGGAAUACUGCAAAGCUAGGGAGUGGGAGAGGUAGACGGUACUCGGUAGGAAGGGGUAAAAUCCUUUGAUCUAUUGAUGACCACCUGUGGCGAAGGCGGUCUACCAGAACACGUCCGACGGUGAGGGAUGAAAGCUGGGGGAGCAAACCGGAUUAGAUACCCGGGUAGUCCCAGCUGUAAACCAUGCAAACUCAGUGAUGCAUUGGCUUAUGGCCAAUGCAGUGCUGCAGGGAAGCCGUUAAGUUUGCCGCCUGGGAAGUACGUACGCAAGUAUGAAACUUAAAGGAAUUGGCGGGG
rnacentral:rRNA from 1 species